AUUGAACGCUGGCGGCAGGCUUAACACAUGCAAGUCGAACGAGUGGCGGACGGGUGAGUAAUGCCUGGGAAUCUAGCUUAUGGUGGGGGAUAACUUCCGGAAACUGCAGCUAAUACCGCUUACUAUCGGAUGAGCCCAAGUGGGAUUAGCUAGUUGGUGGGGUAAAGGCCCACCAAGCCGACGAUCCCUAUCUGGUCUGAGAGGAUGACCAGACACACAGGGACUGGGACACGGACCAGACCGCUAAGAGGGGAAGCAGUGGGGAAUAUUGCAGAAUGGGGGCAACCGGACGCAGCCAUGCCGCGUAAGUGAAGAAGGCCUUCGGGUUGUAAAGUUCGUUAGGUUGAGAAGCGUUAACAACAGAAAAAGCAACGGCUAACUUCGUGCCAGCAGCCGCGGUAAUAC
rnacentral:rRNA from 1 species